GAUAAUGGCCGAAAAUCUAAGGUUUCCUGAGGAAGGUUCGUCCGCUCAGGGUAAGCCGGGAGCUAAGGUGAGGCGGAAGCGCGUAGCCGAUGCACAUACGGUAGAGAUUCCGUAGCCUCCGAAAAGUAAAGCACAGGGACGCUUCAGAAGUGUUACGCCGGGCGAUGGUAGCCCCGGUUGUAAAGGACACAAUUGAGUGGAAGGUAACAUGGAUGGAGACAAGAAAAGCUGUGUGUAUCUGGAAGGAGCCCGUACCGCAAACCGACACAGGUAGAUAGGAAGAAGAUUCUAAGGCCAGCGGGAGAAGGGUUGUUAAGGAACUCGGCAAGUUGACCCCGUAACUUCGGGAGAAGGGGUGCUUACGAAGGUAAGCCGCAGAGAAUAGGCCCAAGCGACUGUUUAGCAAAAACACAGCUCUAUGCUAAAUCGAAAGAUGACGUAUAUGGGGUGACACCUGCCCGGUGCUGGAAGGUUAAGAGGAGAUGUGAGAGCAUUGAAUUGAAGCCCCAGUAAACGGCGGCCGUAACUAUAACGGUCCUAAGGUAGCGAAAUUCCUUGUCAGGUAAGUUCUGACCCGCACGAAUGGUGUAACGAUUUGGGCACUGUCUCAACAACCUACCCGGCGAAAUUGUAGUACCGGUGAAGAUGCCGGUUACCCGCAACUAGACGGAAAGACCCCAUGGAGCUUCACUGUAGCUUAAUAUUGAAUUUUGGUAUUUCAUGUACAGGAUAGGUGGGAGACUGGGAAAUACAGGCGUCAGCUUGUAUGGAGUCACUGUUGGGAUACCACUCUUGAGGUGCUGAAAUUCUAACCUGCGUCUUUGAAUCAAGACGGGGGACAUUGUUAGGUGGGCAGUUUGACUGGGGCGGUCGCCUCCAAAAGAGUAACGGAGGCGCUCAAAGGUUCGCUCAGCAUGGACGUAAACCAUGCCAAAGAGUGCAAACGCAAAAGCGAGCCUAACUGCGAGACUGACGGGUCGAGCAGUAACGAAAGUUGGAGUUAGUGAUCCGGCGGUAUGUGAGUGGAAAUGCCGUCGCUCAACGGAUAAAAGCUACCCUGGGGAUAACAGGCUGAUCUCCCCCAAGAGUCCACAUCGACGGGGAGGUUUGGCACCUCGAUGUCGGCUCAUCGCAUCCUGGGGCUGAAUUCGGUCCCAAGGGUUUGGCUGUUCGCCAAUUAAAGCGGUACGCGAGCUGGGUUCAGAACGUCGUGAGACAGUUCGGUCCCUAUCUGUCGUGGGCGUAGGAUAUUUGAAAGGAGCUGUCCCUAGUACGAGAGGACCGGGAUGGACGCACCUCUGGUGAACCAGUUGUCACGCCAGUGGCACGGCUGGGCAGCUAAGUGCGGAACGGAUAAACGCUGAAAGCAUCUAAGCGUGAAGCCGACCUUAAGAUAAGAUAUCCGUUCUUCGGAAUAAGACCCCUUGUAGACUACGAGGUUGAUAGGCUUAAAGUGUAAGCAUGGUGACAUGUUUAGCUUGCAAGUACUAAUCGGUCGAUUGCUUUU
rnacentral:rRNA from 1 species